UACGAAGGGGGCGAGCGUUGUUCGGAUUUACUGGGCGUAAAGGGCGCGUAGGCGGCCCGCUAAGUCGAACGUGAAAUCCCCAGGCUCAACCUGGGAACUGCGUCCGAUACUGGCAGGCUUGAAUCCGGGAGAGGGAUGCGGAAUUCCAGGUGUAGCGGUGAAAUGCGUAGAUAUCUGGAGGAAUACCGGUGGCGAAGGCGGCAUCCUGGACCGGCAUUGACGCUGAGGAGCGAAAGCUAGGGGAGCAAACGGGG
rnacentral:rRNA from 1 species